GCCGCGUUUCCACCGCAGGAACUUUACCCAGGAACUAGGGACUUGGUCCGGUACUUGGUGUGUUUCCACCGCAGGAACCAGGAACUAAAUAAAAGUUCCGGGUAAAAAAAUGCCCCCCAGAAAGUCCCUGCUGGCGAGGUGGUACUUUUUUAAAGUUCAGGAACUUUCGGGGGCGGGACUUUGGCGCUAAACAUCCUGAUUGGUUGAGUUGACGCAGCAUUGGUUGAGUUCAACCACCAUUUAUUCGGAUCAACAUUUUCAAAAUAUUACUGUUAUUGUGUCAUGAAAUGUAAUUUUAAAAGUAUUUCAGGCGAGAAUGUAGUUGUUUAAAACUCAAAUCUGUUGUUUAUUUAUAAAGACAGCGCCUAUUUAAAAAUGUGUUUCGCCGAUCUCUGAGACGGUGAGCUCCACACGAUCAGGGAGAGCUCAGUGAUCAUCUAUCCGCCCAGAGGCAGCCUCACCUUGGAUAGACCUUCUGAUAUGUGCCGCUGGCUCUGAUGUGUCUUUAGUGGUUAAACAUAACAUAUAAUUCAGCUGCGGGGUAAAUCUAACAGGUUUUCUUUGGUCUGUAUUCAAUUUAUCUAUAUGUUAAAAUGAAAAUAAAAAAGGCAAAUUUAUAUAAUAUUUCGUUUCAUUGUAAUGGCUGCAUAUACACAUAUCCCUGAACUAAGUACAUUUCUGCAGCUGUUAUUAUGCUUAAAUGAAAACCAAAGGAGGCAGUUGUAUUUUAUAUCCCAUUUCGUUUUAUUGUAAAUAGGAAAAUUGCAGUAGCCAAGACGAGCUGACUGAAGUUAUCAAGUGCUGCUGUUUAUAGAUUUACCGGACUUGCGUCGUCGCGGACAUCACACUCCCGAGUCGAAUGCACAAAGUCUGAACUAACUACCGAGGAUGCACGUCCAAAAUCAGCGUACUUUAAAAAAACAAACAAAUCAGCAGUACUUUGUAUUGAGAAACGCGCGCAGACCUACGUCACCAGUCUAUUUGCCUAAUCUACCCGGUACUUUACACCGCGGUGGAAACGCAGAAAGCAACAGGUCUGGGGGGAAAAAAGUUCCUGGGAAAAAAAGUUCCUGGUAAAAAUGUUCCGGGUAAUUUCGGUGGAAACGCGGCAUAUGUGUU